AAUUUAUGAUGAAAUGGGAAUUUGGUAAGAGUGACCCAAAUCGGGGCUCAAAGCCAAAGCCGCCCCCGCGACUGUAAGCGGUGAGCAACUAUCUAAACGUCACUGGGAUUUAUUCUUGGGAAGACAGAUACGUAGCCACGACCCGCAAGCCAGGAGACCAGCCUUGAAAUGUUU
rnacentral:ncRNA from 1 species